AGCAGCCGCGGUAAUUCCAGCUCCAAUAGCGUAUAUUAAAGUUGUUGCAGUUAAAAAGCUCGUAGUUGAAUUUCGGGAUUGGCGCAUCGGUCGUGCCUCACGGGGUAUGAACUGGUGCAGUCAAUUUCUCACCUUCUGGAGAACCGCGAUGUCCUUAAUUGGAUGCCGCGGGGAACCAGGACCUUUACUUUGAAAAAAUUAGAGUGUUUAAAGCAGGCAUUUUUGCUUGAAUACAUUAGCAUGGAAUAAUAAAAUAGGACGGCAUGGUUCUAUUUUGUUGGUUUCUAGGACCACCGUAAUGAUUAAUAGGGAUAGUUGGGGGCAUUAGUAUUCAAUUGUCAGAGGUGAAAUUCUUGGAUUUAUUGAAGACUAACUACUGCGAAAGCAUUUGCCAAGGAUGUUUUCAUUAAUCAAAAACGAAAGUUAGGGGAUCGAAGACGAUCAGAUACCGUCGUAGUCUUAACCAUAAACUAUGCCGACUAGGAAUCAGACGAUGUUAAUUUUUUAAUGACUCGUUUGG
rnacentral:misc_RNA from 1 species